rnacentral:tRNA from 1 species
GCCUGGGUGGCUCAGUCGGUUGGGCAUCUGACUUCGGCUCAGGUCAUGAUCUCACGGCUCGUGGGUUCGAGCCCUGCGUCGGGCU